rnacentral:rRNA from 1 species
UACGAAGGGGGCUAGCGUUGCUCGGAUUGACUGGGCGUAAAGGGCGCGUAGGCGGUUCGUACAGUUAGACGUGAAAUUCCUGGGCUCAACCUGGGGCUGCGUUUGAUACGUGCGGACUUGAGUGCGGAAGAGGGUCGUGGAAUUCCCAGUGUAGAGGUGAAAUUCGUAGAUAUUGGGAAGAACACCGGUGGCGAAGGCGGCGACCUGGUCCGAUACUGACGCUGAGGCGCGAAAGCGUGGGAGCAAACAG